rnacentral:rRNA from 1 species
UACAGAGGUCCCCGAGCGUUGUUCGGAUUCACUGGGCGUAAAGGGUGCGCAGGUGGCCUGAUAAGUUUGAUGUGAAAGCUCAGGGCUUAACCCUGAAAUGGCAUUGAAUACUAUUGGGCUGGAGGUUUGGAGGGGGACUGGAAUUCUCGGUGUAGCAGUGAAAUGCGUAGAUAUCGAGAGGAACACCAGUGGCGAAGGCGAGUCCCUGGACAACACCUGACACUGAGGCACGAAAGCUAGGGGAGC